AUUGAACGCUGGCGGCAUGCUUUACACAUGCAAGUCGAACGGUAACAGGCCGCAAGGUGCUGACGAGUGGCGAACGGGUGAGUAAUGCAUCGGAACGUGCCCAGUCGUGGGGGAUAACGCAGCGAAAGCUGUGCUAAUACCGCAUACGAUCUGUGGAUGAAAGCGGGGGACCGAAAGGCCUCGCGCGAUUGGAGCGGCCGAUGUCAGAUUAGGUAGUUGGUGGGGUAAAGGCUCACCAAGCCAACGAUCUGUAGCUGGUCUGAGAGGACGACCAGCCACACUGGGACUGGGACACGGCCCAGACUCCUACGGGAGGCAGCAGAGGGGAAUUUUGGACAAUGGGCGCAAGCCUGAUCCAGCAAUGCCGCGUGCAGGAAGAAGGCCUUCGGGUUGUAAACUGCUUUUGUACGGAGCGAAAAGGCUCUCUCUAAUACAGGGGGCUCAUGACGGUACCGUAAGAAUAAGCACCGGCUAACUACGUGCCAGCCGCCGCAGUAAAAC
rnacentral:rRNA from 1 species